GAAAUGCGAUAAGUAAUGUGAAUUGCAGAAUUCAGUGAAUCAUCGAAUCUUUGAACGCACCUUGCGCUCCUUGGUAUUCCUUGGAGCAUGCCUGUUUGAGUAUCAUGAAAUCUUCAAAGUAAAUCUUUUGUUAACUCAAUUGGUUUCUACUUUGGUAUUGGAGGUCUUUGCAGCUUCACACCUGCUCCUCUUUGUUCAUUAGCUGGAUCUCAGUGUUAUGCUUGGUUCCACUCGGCGUGAUAAGUUAUCUAUCGCUGAGGACACUGUAAAAGGUGGCCAAGGUAAAUGCAGAUGAACCGCUUCUAAUAGUCCAUUGACUUGGACAAUACUUUUAUGAUCUGAUCUCAAAUCAGGUCGGACUACCCGCUGAACUUAAGC
rnacentral:misc_RNA from 1 species